AUUGAACGCUGGCGGCAGGCCUAACACAUGCAAGUCGAACGGAGUGGCGGACGGGUGAGUAAUGUCUCGGAACGUGCCUAGCAGCGGGGGAUAACUACCCGAAAGCGAAGCUAAUACCUCAUACUCUCUGUUGGGUCGACAUCGGAUUAGCUAGGUGGUGGGGUAAAGGCUCACCAAGGCGACGAUCCGUAACUGGUUUGAGAGGAUGAUCAGCCACACUGGGACUGAGACACGGCCCAGACGCCUACGGGAGGCAGCAGUGGGGAAUUUGGGAAAAUGGGGGCAAGCCUGAUCCAGCCAGCCCGCGUGUGUGAUGAAGGCCUUAGGGUUGUAAAGCACUGUAAGUUGGGAUGCGGUACCGACAGAAUAAGCACCGGCUAACUACGUGCCAGCAGCCGCGGUAAUAC
rnacentral:rRNA from 1 species